rnacentral:rRNA from 1 species
AUUGAACGCUGGCGGCAGGCCUAACACAUGCAAGUCGAACGAGUGGCGGAGGGGUGAGUAAUGUCUGGGAAACUGCCUGAUGGCGGGGGAUAACUACUGGAAACGGUAGCUAAUACCGCAUACCAUCGGAUGUGCCCAGGUGGGAUGAGCUAGUAGGUGGGGUAAAGGCUUACCAAGGCGACGAUCCCUAGCUGGUCUGCGAGGAUGACCAGCCACACUGGAACUGAGACACGGUCCAGACUCCUACGGGAGGCAGCAGUGGGGAACAUUGCACAAUGGGCGCAAGCCUGAUGCAGCCAUGCCGCGUGUGUGAUGAAGGCCUUCGGGUUGUAAAGUACUGUCAGCGGGGAGGCGGUACCCGCACAAGAAGCACCGGCUAACUCCGUGCCAGCCGCCGCGGUAAUUC